rnacentral:lncRNA from 1 species
UAGACAGCAAGGGAGGAGAAAGAAUCGUGGGAAAUCCAUUUUGUGUUUGUACGGGGACAAACUUGCAAGGGGAGGAGGGAUAAUGAAUGCAUAGCCGUAUAGCUAUUUUCUAUCUAUACGGGAGGAGAAAGAGAUGUGUGCGAAAGAAAAUAGUGACACGUGUAAAGUGAGAGAAGAAGAGAAAGAGGUUGCAAUCCACGGUCUAGGUUGCCAAACGAUCAGCUUUGUAUAAUCCAAAGCUAAAACAAACAAUACCUAGCCUGAUUAUUUACAACCUACCGACAAUGGUCCACAACACAUAGAGGCAAGCUAAUUUUUUCGUUUAUUCCCCUUUUUAUUUCAGUCUAAUUAUAUUUAUUGGAUUAUAAUUUGUACAUUUAUACAUGCUUCACCAUUUUCUAUUUAAAACUUGAUUCAACGAUCCAUGAAAUCUAACUAAACGUCUAUUAUCUUAGUACAAUAGUGUUAAAAGAAU